GGCUCAGGAUGAACGCUGGCGGCGUGCUUAAUACAUGCAAGUCGAACGAAGCACCUGCGACGGAUCCUUCGGGGUGAAGAUGCUUGUGACUGAGUGGCGGACGGGUGAGUAACGCGUGGGUAACCUGCCUUAUGCAGGGGGACAACAGUUAGAAAUGACUGCUAAUACCGCAUAAGCGCACGAGACCGCAUGGUCAAGUGUGAAAAGAUUUAUCGGCAUAAGAUGGACCCGCGUCUGAUUAGGUAGUUGGUGAGGUAACGGCCCACCAAGCCGACGAUCAGUAGCCGACUUGAGAGAGUGAUCGGCCACAUUGGGACUGAGACACGGCCCAGACUCCUACGGGAGGCAGCAGUAGGGAAUAUUGCACAAUGGGGGAAACCCUGAUGCAGCCGACGCCGCGUGAGUGAUUGAAGUAUUUCGGUACGUAAAGCUCUAUCAGCAGGGAAGAUAAUGACGGUACCUGACUAAGAAGCCCCGGCUAACUACGUGCCAGCAGCAGC
rnacentral:rRNA from 1 species